rnacentral:rRNA from 1 species
CUACGUAGGGUGCAAGCGUUAAUCGGAAUUACUGGGCGUAAAGCGUGCGCAGGCGGUUUUGUAAGACAGAGGUGAAAUCCCCGGGCUCAACCUGGGAACUGCCUUUGUGACUGCAAGGCUAGAGUACGGCAGAGGGGGAUGGAAUUCCGCGUGUAGCAGUGAAAUGCGUAGAUAUGCGGAGGAACACCGAUGGCGAAGGCAAUCCCCUGGGCAUGUACUGACGCUCAUGCACGAAAGCGUGGGGAGCAAACAGGAUUAGAUACCCUGGUAGUCCACGCCCUAAGCGAUGUCAACUGGUUGUUGGGUCUUCAUUGACUCAGUAACGAAGCUAACGCGUGAAGUUGACCGCCUGGGGAGUACGGUCGCAAGGUUGAAACUCAAAUGAAUUGACGGGG